rnacentral:rRNA from 1 species
CCAAAAAUCUAGCUUAUACUACCCACUCAUCUCAAAAACCUAAACAAAAUAUUUUAACAUUAUAGUAGAGAAGAUCGAAAUUUAUAUUAAAGCUAUAAAUACCGCAAGGGAAUGAUGAAAUAGAAAUGAAAUAAUCUUCAAGCACAAAAAAGUAGAGAUAACCCCUCGUACCUUUUGCAUCAUGGUUUAGCUAGUCUAAUUAGGCAAAAAGAACCCUUAAGUCUAACCCCCCGAAACUAAGUGAGCUAAUUUGGGGCCGCUUAAUGCGCCAACCCGUCUAUGUUGCAAAAUAGUGGGGAGACCCCAAAAUAGAGGUGACAGACCUAACGAACUUAGUCAUAGCUGGUUUCUCAGGAAAAGAAUUUUAGUUCCGCCUAAAGCAACAUAAAUCCAAAUAAAUCACCUCCACCCUUUAGAGUAAUUCAAAUAGGGUACAGCCUAUUUGAUACAGGACCCACCCUUCAUUUACGGGUAACAUCAGACCCCCACACACCCAAGUCGGCCUAACAGCAGCCAUCUUUAAAAAAGCGUCAAAGCUUAACCAUGACGGUCCUAAUUCACCAAUCAUCAUUGACCCCUAUCACCCUACUGAGAACUUCUAUACACUUAUAGUAAAUAUUAUGCUAAAACUAGUAACAAGAGGAAUAACCUCUCUCCAGUGCAAACUUAAGCCAGAAAGAACCCAUCACUGGCAAUUAACAGACUUACACAAAAGUAACAACCAUUCCAGAAAACCCUACUCUCUCUAACUGUUAACCUAACACCAGAGCACUCCCAGAAAGAUUAAAAGAAAAAGAAGGAACUCGGCAAAUAUUAGCUCCGCCUGUUUACCAAAAACAUCGCCUCUUGAUUUCAUAAGAGGUCCAGCCUGCCCAGUGACCUAGUUCAACGGCCGCGGUAUCCUAACCGUGCAAAGGUAGCGUAAUCACUUGUCUUCUAAAUAAAGACUAGUAUGAAAGGCACCACGAGAACUAAACUGUCUCCCUUUUCCAAUCAGUGAACCUAAUAUUCCCGUGAAGAAGCGGGGAUUUUAAAAUAAGACGAGAAGACCCUAUGGAGCUUUAAACAUCAUAAUCACCUGCCCACAAAACCAAAAUACUCAGGUUACCUCACCAAAACCCACAAUGAUUAUAUGUUUUUGGUUGGGGUGACCGCGGAGAAAAACUUAUCCCCCGCGAUGAAAACCCACCAAACAACAAGCCACAGCUUUAUGUAUCAACAAAUUGACACUAUUGACCCAAUAUAUUGAUCAACGAACCAAGUUACCCUAGGGAUAACAGCGCAAUCCACUUCAAGAGCCCCUAUCGACAAGUGGGCUUACGACUUCGAUGUUGGAUCAGGGUAUCCUAGUGGUGCAGCCGCUACUAAGGGCUCGUUUGUUCAACGAUUAAAACCCCACGUGAUCUGAGUUCAGACCGGAGUAAUCCAGGUCAGUUUCUAUA